AAGCACUAUCUUUGAACCUGCAUGACCAUUCUCAUGGACUUACAGGCCAAGCUAUAGUGCAAAAGUAUACAAUGACUUGUUAUAACUGGGGUCCCUUGGCUCUUCCCCAAGCUUCUCUUUUAAAUGCAAGUUACAUCA
ensembl:snoRNA small nucleolar RNA SNORA50